AUUGAACGCUGGCGGCAGGCCUAACACAUGCAAGUCGAGCGGAUGAAGGGAGCUUGCUCCUGGAUUCAGCGGCGGACGGGUGAGUAAUGCCUAGGAAUCUGCCUGGUAGUUGGGGAUAACGUCCGUACACGGGCGCUAAUACCGCAUACGUCCUGAGGGAGAAAGUGGGGGAUCUUCGGACCUCACGCUAUCAGAUGAGCCUAGGUCGGAUUAGCUAGUUGGUGGGGUAAAGGCCUACCAAGGCGACGAUCCGUAACUGGUCUGAGAGGAUGAUCAGUCACACUGGAACUGAGACACGGUCCAGACUCCUACGGGAGGCAGCAGUGGGGAAUAUUGGACAAUGGGCGAAAGCCUGAUCCAGCCAUGCCGCGUGUGUGAAGAAGGUCUUCGGAUUGUAAAGCACUUUAAGUUGGGAGGAAGGGCAGUAAGUUAAUACCUUGCUGUUUUGACGGUACCAACAGAAUAAGCACCGGCUAACUUCGUG
rnacentral:rRNA from 1 species